rnacentral:lncRNA from 1 species
UACAUGCCCGGGCCUGGUUCAAGGAAACUACAGAUUUGAAUGACUGAAGAGGGAGGAGCUUUCAGUCUCCAUUGCUUCUUAAGGAAAUGUAAUAGAGUCUAAUUGAAGAGAAUAUGAUUCAAGAUACAGACUGGAAUUUCUUAGUCAAGGAUCACUGACCUCAACUAUUUUACAAAACUUAUCAGCAGAACGUUUGAUUUCCUACAAAUCCCAAAAGAGU